rnacentral:tRNA from 1 species
GGACAAGUAGCUCAGCUGGUCCAGAGCGCUUCGUUGACAUCGAAGAGGUCGCAGGUUCGAAUCCUGUCUUGUCCA